AUGCACGAGCUCCCGGCGUUCUUCUCCCUCUCUCCCUCUCCCUCCCUCCCUGGUUUCCUGGCAAAAAAGAAAAAAAAGAAAAAGAAAGAAAAAAAAGAAAAAAAAAAAAAAAGUCCUCCGGCUGGGCAGGGAGCCUGCAGGUUCACCCACGGCCCGGCGAGGGGAGGGCGCGCAGGGCCCGGCGCUCGGCAGCCCCCGGGGAAGCGCGGCGGGGGCAGGCUCAGCAGCAGCCUGCGUUCACCAUCCUCGGGGGCCCGUCGCCGGGAACGUGGCGCCCAAGUUCACCCGCGGUUCCGGCUCCAAGCGCCCAGUCGCAGCCGCAGCAGCAGCCGCCGCCGCCGCCGCCGCCGCCAGCCCGUGCGUCCUCCUCCUCCUCCUCCUCCUCCUCCCCCUGCUGCUCCGCGUCCUCCUCCUCCUCCACCGCCCACUCCGCCGCCGCCGCUGCUGCCGCCUCCUGCUCGUGCGGGAAGGGCCUCCGCCGCUCCUCGCCUCUCGCCUCUGCUUCUCCUUCCCUCCUCGCCGCGCUCCCCUCCAGAACGUUCAUCCGUAAUCUACAUAACUCCUCCUUCCCGGGUCCGCCGAGAUCCGGUCCUCCGAGCGCGCACACGCGCACACAAACCCCGGGGCGCGCGCGCGCACACGGAUCUGCACGGGAGCACGCGCACACACACGUGCACACCCCAGCGCGCGCGCGCACACACGGAUCUGCACAGGAGCACACACGUGCACACCCCAGCGCGCGCGCACACACACGGAUCUGCACGGGAGCACGCACACACACGUGCACACCCCAGCGCGCGCGCGCACACACGGAUCUGCACAGGAGCACACACGUGCACACCCCAGCGCGCGCGCACACACGUGCACACCCCAGCGCGCGCGCACACACACGGAUCUGCACGGGAGCACGCACACACACACGUGCACACCCCAGCGAGCGCACACACACAGAUCUGCACAGGAGCACACACACGUGCACACCCUAGGGCGCGCACACACACGUGCACACGCCAGAGUGCGCACACACACGGAUCUGCACAGGAGCAUACACACACGUGCACACCCUAG
rnacentral:lncRNA from 12 species